rnacentral:rRNA from 1 species
GACGAGCGCUGGCGGCGUGCCUAAUACAUGCAAGUAGAACGCCGAAGAGAGGAGCUUGCUCUUCUUGGAUGAGUUGCGAACGGGUGAGUAACGCGUAGGUAACCUGCCUGGUAGCGGGGGAUAACUAUUGGAAACGAUAGCUAAUACCGCAUAAGAGUAGAUGUUGCAUGACAUUUGCUUAAAAGGUGCAAAUGCAUCACUACCAGAUGGACCUGCGUUGUAUUAGCUAGUUGGUGAGGUAACGGCUCACCAAGGCAACGAUACAUAGCCGACCUGAGAGGGUGAUCGGCCACACUGGGACUGAGACACGGCCCAGACUCCUACGGGAGGCAGCAGUAGGGAAUCUUCGGCAAUGGACGGAAGUCUGACCGAGCAACGCCGCGUGAGUGAAGAAGGUUUUCGGAUCGUAAGGCUCUGUUGUAAGAGAAGAACGAGUGUGAGAGUGGAAAGUUCACACUGUGACGGUAUCUUACCAGAAAGGGACGGCUAACUACGUGCCAGCAGCCGCGGUAAUACGUAGGUCCCGAGCGUUGUCCGGAUUUAUUGGGCGUAAAGCGAGCGCAGGCGGUUAGAUAAGUCUGAAGUUAAAGGCUGUGGCUUAACCAUAGUACGCUUUGGAAACUGUUUAACUUGAGUGCAAGAGGGGAGAGUGGAAUUCCAUGUGUAGCGGUGAAAUGCGUAGAUAUAUGGAGGAACACCGGUGGCGAAAGCGGCUCUCUGGCUUGUAACUGACGCUGAGGCUCGAAAGCGUGGGGAGCAAACAGG